rnacentral:lncRNA from 1 species
GGUCAGUCUACUUCUUAAAGUCUACGCAUGAUUCAACUAGUUACCGUGAUCCUUUAGAUGGAUCACUCUUUAUGGCCUCGCCUUCAGCUUCAUGGCAGUCAUCGGAUCCAGAGGGUCCAAAUGUAGGUCCAUAUACACAACCAUCGUUUGCUAUUCGUGUGUAAUAUUAAUGUAUCAUACAAGAAAGAAAAGAAAGAGUGAGGCAUUUAUGAUUCUUAUCAUUUGAAAUCACAAAGUGUAGUGUUAGAGUCUCAAACAAACAGAGCAAUCACUAUCCAGUGAUCAUCUGUAUUAUGCUAUGCAAAUGAGGAACUCAAAGGUCUUUUCCAAGUUAACAACUCUUGCAUAUUGAAACUAUAUUCCUUGAUACCCUUCAUUAAGGAAAUAAAACAUUAAAGAAAUGAUUGGGAGAUAACAUCCUUUUACUCCUCAUGGUACUAUCCAAAACAAAUCAUUAUAAAAUACUCAUCAAGCGAAAUCAAUUAACAAGAGUAAGGAAUUAGAUUAAGUUACACAUAUCCUUCAUUAGUUUUUUUUAUUCUUCCUCACCAUCACGCACUCUUAAGAAUUUUAUUUCCUGGCUUUAUUUCCAAUUGUUGUUAUAUUUUAUGAUAAAUCUUUUCCUAACUAAACCAUUCUAGUCUUAUUCGACUCAGCAGCCCACAAGUGGCAAUGUCUUUUUUAUAGAUUUUACUCAUUUAAACCCACUGCUAGCCUUCACGCUCGUGCACACGCCGCAGCUCAGCGUUUAUCUUCUCAAGAGCACAUAGUUUGUUGCACCAAUACUGCAUGGUGGAUGGUGCAGUACCCAAAAAUUUAAAACCUUCUAAUUUUACCUUUUGUUUCCAUUCAUUAUGAUCAAAUAUCCUACAUUCACAAACAGAGAUUUAAUUCCCACUCCCAGCUACACAAAAAGAAUCACGUAACUAUGUCAUACUACUAACUAAGCUUUCAGAUGUUAGUUAGAAAUAAUAACAAGACUUCUACUAAAAGAAAAUAUAAGAUUCUGGUUGCAUUGUUCAGAUAUAACCACAACCUUCCAAGGAAAACACCUACGACACACACUCAGGUCAGAACAGUAACACCCGCGACUCCCACCCCUGUACAUAUUCAAGUUUUCUCUCUUGCUUACUUCAGUCUACAAAUACAGAGCUCAACCACCCAAGUUCCAUUAAUCUAUAUUGGUAUCAACUAAACAGGGAGUAGUAAUAACAAUACAUUUCAAGGUUCAAACAGGAUAUAUGAGAAACAUAAGUGUAAUAUUCCAUCACCCAUAACCAAUCAGGAAUUUUGCAAAACUAAUCAAGAAUAAAACAAAAUCUCAAUCAUCAAAUUCAAACAUGUAACUCACAAAUUAAAGAGAGAUAAGGGGGUUCUCUCUACCUAAAGUAGCUUUUGUGAAAGAGGAAAAAUCUUCUAGCCUUUGUGAGGAGAUGAAGAUAAGGGCGGUAUUUGAGAAAAAGGAGAGUUGAGGAGAGCUCUGUGUAUCCUCUGCUGGUUUUCCC